rnacentral:tRNA from 1 species
GCCUGUAGUCUAGUGGCUAAGAUCCAUGUCUGGUACUCCUGAGGUUUGUGGUUCAAGUCCCAGUCCAGCCA